UUUGCUAAUGCAUCUUUAUAAAGUUUAUGGCCGUUCAAAUGGUGAUUAGUGGUGAUUAGUGGUGAUUAUUCUUCGGAUUUGGUUAUUAAAGUGAGAGGAGGAUAUUCAAAAUUGUAUUUUUCCGGUGUAUAUGCUGUUGUUGAUAAGAAGUUCACUGAGGUUCAUCAUGUUUUAAAUUCAGCGAACCAUUAUAUAGAGAAUUGGAAUUGUAUAUCAAAAGGAAUAUUUGAAGCUGUACUUUAUAGUUUAUCUAUUAUCAUUAUCUUAUGACAUACCAGGUAAGAGAAUAGUUACAAGUAUUAUAAUUUUAUUUAAAAGAAUAUUUCAUUGCACAUAGUCAAAAAAAUAUUUUAUUGUAACUGUAUGGUUCUUAAAGUUGAAUUGAAUGUAUUGAAUGUAUGAUAGUUAUUAUAGAAUUAUCUUUUUUAGAUUUUUAAAAUAGGUAAAAAGCGAGAAAACUUGUCUGAAACAAUUUUAGAAAAGUAUAUAGACCAUAAUGUCAUUCAGCUGAUGAUGACUUGUUUGUCGAUGAUGGGAUUAUAGGCUGUAAUGUAGAAGAUGUGUUUAUAUGAAUCCCAAAGAUCAUUUGUAUGCCUUAGUCUUUUUAGUCAUGUAUUCUUUGUGAGCCAGAAAUAUGGAUAAGACGCAGAAAUAUACCGAUAAGUUUAUUAGUCAAAUUAAAACUAAAAAGUAAGUAUUUAAAUACUUUCUUGUUGAAACAAUUUAAUACAAUUCUUUUUAUAUAUUCAUAAAGAUCACAUUAAAAAAUUUUAUUUACAAUUUUGAUUGAGGCAUACAUGAGACGGAAGACUACAAAAUGAUUGAGUUUUCUUUUUAAAUAUAAACUGAUACGUAAUUCCAUAUUUUACUUUUCAUUCUUUUU